CUCUUUCCCAAAUCCGCCUCCGCCAACCUACCAACCAAACCCUAGCUUGCUAGAUUUCGGAAAAAAAAAAAACGAAAGUGUCCCCAACUCGAACCGCCGAGAAGCCCGCCCGCCGCCGCCGAGAGAUGGCUGCCGAGUACGACGAGCGCUACCAGGGCAACGGCGACACAGCCACGGCCGAGGGCGGCCACGCGCAGGCCGAGUACGCCGCCCCAGCCGCUGCCGUGGCGCCUGCCGCCGGGGGUUCGCCGCCCGCCGACAGUAAGCCCGCUGGGUUCUCAGACCACGCCGACGGCCGCUCGUCCCAGCCCCAGCACGAGACACAAUCACAUGACAGUGGUUCCUCCAAAUCUCGAGAAAGGGACCGCGAACGUGAUAAGAGCAAGGACAGGGAGCGUGAUAGGGACCGUGGCCGAGAAAAGGAGAGGGACCGGGAUAAGGAUCGUGAAAGAGGUGACAGGGACAGAGAGCGUGAUCGCCACCACAGGGACCGUCGUGAGCGCAGCGAGAGAAGGGAACACCGUGAUCGUUCUGAUGAUCGUGACCGUGACCGUCACCGUGAUGAUCGAGACCGUCACAGGAGCCAUGAUUCUGAGAGGAGAAGAGAUCGUGACAGAGAUGGCCAUCGUAGGCAUCGUUCCCGCUCCCCCAAGAGUCGUGACCGUGACCGUGACCGCAGAUCUAGAUCUCGCUCACGCUCUCGAUCGAAGAGCAAGCGCGUGAGUGGUUUUGACCAAGCACCUCCACAACAGGCACUUCCUAUUGUUGCUACUGGUGCUAUCCCAGGUCAGCUCGCUGGUGUCACUGCUCCUAUUCCUGGUGUGGGGGUGCUUCCAAACUUGUAUAAUUUGGCUGGAGGACAGUUCAACCCCCUUGUUAUUCAGCCACAAGCCAUGACACAACAGGCUACUCGACAUGCUCGGCGUGUCUAUGUGGGUGGACUUCCUCCAACUGCUAAUGAGCAAACCGUUGCCAUAUUCUUCAAUGGAGUUAUGGCUGCUAUUGGAGGAAACACAGCUGGUCCAGGUGAUGCUGUUCUUAAUGUCUACAUUAACCAUGACAAGAAAUUUGCUUUUGUGGAGAUGAGAUCUGUGGAGGAAGCAAGCAAUGCAAUGGCCUUAGAUGGCAUAAUGUUUGAGGGAGCACCAGUCAAAGUUAGAAGGCCAACGGACUACAAUCCUUCCCUAGCAGCUGCUCUGGGCCCAAGCCAGCCAAAUCCGAAUCUCAAUCUUGCUGCUGUUGGCUUGACACCUGGCUCUGCUGGAGGAUUAGAAGGUCCAGACCGGAUCUUUGUAGGUGGUCUACCAUAUUACUUCACUGAGGCCCAAGUGCGGGAGUUGCUGGAGUCCUUUGGACCUCUUCGUGGAUUUGAUCUUGUGAAGGAUAGAGAAACUGGUAAUUCGAAGGGAUAUGCCUUCUGUGUGUACCAGGAUCUUAAUGUUACCGACAUUGCCUGUGCUGCUCUUAAUGGCAUCAAGAUGGGAGACAAGACUCUUACUGUUAGGCGGGCAAACCAAGGAGCUUCUCAGCCUAGGCCAGAGCAAGAAAGCAUCCUGUUGCAGGCACAGCAGCAGGUGCAAAUGCAGAAACUUGUAUACCAAGUCGGAGGUGCCCUGCCAACAAAAGUUGUAUGCCUGACACAGGUAGUGAAAGCAGAUGAACUGAGAGAUGAUGAGGCAUACGAUGACAUUGUGGAGGACAUGAGGGAAGAAGGGCACAAAUAUGUCCCACAUAAUGCCAUUGCAGAGUGUUUUAUAGUCCGACCCUAUGCAAUAUUGGCAAUCGGGCCUUAACCCACAGAAGACACUAUGCUUUUGAGUUUGAUUAAUCAUUAUAUUAUUAGCCUCUUGUCUAUAUAUGUACUCACUAACACUUGGACAGGUAACUUGGUGAAAGUUGUAAUUCCACGGCCUGACCCCAGCGGUGCUCCUGUUGCUGGUGUUGGAAAGGUGUUCUUGGAAUAUGCAGAUGUGGAGGGCUCGACCAAAGCAAAGACGGGGAUGCAUGGGCGGAAAUUCGACGGAAACCAGGUGGUGGCCGUGUUCUACCCUGAGGACAAGUUUGCUGCUGAGCAGUACGACUGAAAGUUGUAGAAUUAUAGGGUUGCAGUUGCACCACACAAUGUGGUAUUUUUUUUUUAAUCUUUGAUAGAACCAGGCAGUUAUUCCUAUUGGAUUUGAAUAUUAUAUAGUUGAGUUUCAUGCUUAACCAGUCUAUAUAAGUGAUAAGUUCCGUGUGGAUCCAUUACUCUGAUGAUCUGUACUGUACCGGUAGGACAGCUAAGAUGAAUUCAUUUGCUGUUUAUCCUGGGUC